rnacentral:rRNA from 1 species
AAUAGAUACCCGGGUAGUCCACGCCGUAAACGAUGAGUGCUAAGUGUUAGAGGGUUUCCGCCCUUUAGUGCUGCAGCUAACGCAUUAAGCACUCCGCCUGGGGAGUACGGUCGCAAGACUGAAACUCAAAGGAAUUGACGGGGGCCCGCACAAGCGGUGGAGCAUGUGGUCUAAUUCGAAGCAACGCGAAGAACCUUACCAGGUCUUGACAUCCUCUGACAACUCUAGAGAUAGAGCGUUCCCCUUCGGGGGACAGAGUGACAGGUGGUGCAUGGUUGUCGUCAGCUCGUGUCGUGAGAUGUUGGGUUAAGUCCCGCAACCGAGCGCAACCCUUGAUCUUAGUUGCCAGCAUUUAGUUGGGCACUCUAAGGUGACUGCCGGUGACAAACCGGAGGAAGUGGGGAUGACGUCAAAUCAUCAUGCCCCUUAUGACCCGGGCUACACACGUGCUACAAUGGAUGGUACAAAGAGCUGCGAACCCGCGAGGGUAAGCGAAUCUCAUAAAGCCAUUCUCAGUUCGGAUUGUAGG